GAGGAGCUACCCGAUGGUAGAGGGCGAUUGGCUCUACGAUCAAGACGUUUCGACCCUUGAUCGUACCAUGAGGAGAGCCUUGCUGGACGAACGCUUGUUGCGUGAAUGGCAGAUCCGGUGGGAUGACAGCGAACACGGCCGUGUUACGCAUAGGUUCAUCCCGGAUGUUAGCUUCGUGUACAGCCGCCCCGACUUCAGUUUCACGAUGCCGACCAGUUUCCUCAUAACUGGUCAUGGCUCGUUGAAUGCUUUUCUGCAUGCGCGCGGUCUUAGCGAGACUGCUGGAUGCCUAUGUGGCCAUCCCCUGGAGGACUGGCUACACGUAUUGUGUGCCUGCCCCCUCUAUGCGGAUGUGCGGGAUCUGCAAGGACUUAGGAUUCAGCAGUCGGAAUCCGGUGACUGGACCAUGGAGAGGACCUUGAUGGAGGCGGAGAGCAUGCAACUGCUUGAAGACUAUGCUCGCACAGUCUUCAGCAGGCGACGCAUGCUGAUGGAUGGCAUGGGACCUGGCAGGCCAGUGCCGGACUGACGUUAGUCAAAACUGGUAGUAGAAUUAUCUGCGAGGGUCGGACCAAAGUCCUUAAAUUUGGGAGACGAAGUCCUUCGGGAUCAGUCGAAAGGCCGACCAGAGCCUCAAUCUGGCAGACUCUCUUCUCGGAGAGAGUCGAAGGGCUGACCAGAGCCUUAAUCUGGAAGACAAAUCCAAUCUGGAGGCGUCGAAGGGCUGACCAGAGCCUUAAUCUGGAAGACAAAUCCAAUUCUGGACGCGUCGAAGGGCUGACCAGAGCCUUAAUCUGGAAGACAAAUCCAAUUUGGAGGCGUCGAAGGGCUGACCAGAGCCUCAAUCUGGAAGACAAAUCCAAUUCUGGAGGCGUCGAAGGGCUGACCAGAGCCUCAAUCUGGAAGACAAAUCCAAUUUGGAGGCGUCGAAGGGCUGACCAGAGCCUUAACCUGGAAGACAAAUCCAAUUUUGGAGGCGUCGAAGGGCGGACCAGAGCCUUAAUCUGGUAGGUUAUCUCUUCGGAGGUGCCGCCGGUGUUAACCCAGUUUCCAGGUUGUCGGAAACCAAAAUGGGCAGUAGUCGCGGACUACUUUCAGCCGAUCAAAGCUGCAAAUUGUAACAGAUUUGAAAUUUGAACCACGGGAUGGGCUAGUGUCCGAGGCUAGCCCAGUGAGGUUGGCCCCCUUUAGUGGGAGUAUCGUGGUGGCUGUGGUGUUACCCGCUGUGUCUCCACUAUAGUUGGAGCACAGCUGCUGGGUCCAAUGUGUAUUUGGACCACAGCCGGAAGCUGUACCCGUAGUCAGCAGAGGUUAUGAUAGGCCUCGCCUCGACCCAAGAGGGAAUUGUGUCCGACAACACAAUUCGAGUUGGUAGCUAAAAGCGUUCUUUUAGGGGCGUUGGUGGACGCAUUGUUUUCACCCGCUGUACUAUGUGUCACAUAUGUGGCACAUGCGAGUACCGUGGUUGUAAACCCCCAUCGGGGUACACGUCACGUUAAACAAAUCAAGGAUUCUGUCCCUAUCUACUUGGGCUAGUGUCCGAGGCUAGCCCAGUGAGGUUGGCCCCCUUUAGUGGGAGUAUCGUGGUGGCUGUGGUGUUACCCGCUGUGUCUCCACUAUAGUUGGAGCACAGCUGCUGGGUCCAAUGUGUAUUUGGACCACAGCCGGAAGCUGUACCCGUAGUCAGCAGAGGUUAUGAUAGGCCUCGCCUCGACCCAAGAGGGAAUUGUGUCCGACAACACAAUUCGAGUUGGUAGCUAAAAGCGUUCUUUUAGGGGCGUUGGUGGACGCAUUGUUUUCACCCGCUGUACUAUGUGUCACAUAUGUGGCACAUGCGAGUACCGUGGUUGUAAACCCCCAUCGGGGUACACGUCACGUUAAACAAAUCAAGGAUUCUGUCCCUAUCUACUAUCUAGCGAAACCACAGCCAAGGGAACGGGCUUGGAAUAAUUAGCGGGGAAAGAAGACCCUUUUGAGCUUGACUCUAAUCUGGCAGUGUAAGGAGACAUAAGAGGUGUAGAAUAAGUGGGAGAUAUUAGGCUUCGGUUUGAUAUCGCCAAUGAAAUACCACUACUCUUAUUGUUUCCUUACUUACUUGAUUAAGUGGAACGUGUAUCAUUUCCUAGCCAUUAUACGGAUAUAUUAAUUAUGUCUUAUGGUAUUGGGUUUUGAUGCAAGCUUCUUGAUCAAAGUAUCACGAGUUUGUUAUAUAAUCGCAAACAAAUUCUUUAAUGAGAAAAUGCAGCAAUGUGUUUUUGAUUUAAUAAUUUGGUAUAACUCCAAUUACUCAGGUAUGAUCCAAUUCAAGGACAUUGCCAGGUAGGGAGUUUGACUGGGGCGGUACAUCUCUCAAAUAAUAACGGAGGUGUCCCAAGGCCAGCUCAGUGCGGACAGAAACCACACAUAGAGCAAAAGGGCAAAUGCUGACUUGAUCUCGGUGUUCAGUACACACAGGGACAGCAAAAGCUCGGCCUAUCGAUCCUUUUGGUUUAAAGAGUUUUUAACAAGAGGUGUCAGAAAAGUUACCAUAGGGAUAACUGGCUUGUGGCGGCCAAGCGUAUAUAGCGACGUCGCUUUUUGAUCUUUUGAUGUCGGAUCUUCCUAUCAUUGCGAAACAAAAUUUCCCAAGCGUUGGAUAGUUCGUCCAGGCAAGGGAGCGUGAGCUGGGUUUAGACCGUCUUGAGACAGGUGAGUUUUACCCUAUUAAUGACAAAACGUUGUUGCGACAGCAUUCCUUGCGUAGUACGAGAGGAACCGCAGGUACGGACCAAUGGCACAAUACUUGUUCGAGCGAACAGUGGUAUGACGCUACGUCCGUUGGAUUAUGCCUGAACGCCUCUAAGGUCGUAUCCGUGCUGGACUGCAAUGAUAAAUAAGGGGCAAUUUGCAUUGUAUGGCUUCUAAACCAUUAAAAGUUUAUAAUUCAUUUUAUAGACGACAAUGGAUGUGAUGCCAAUGUUAUAUAUAACAUAGUAAAUUGGGAGGAUCUUCGAUCACCUGAUGCCGCGCUAGUUAUAUUUUAAAACAUUAUUU
rnacentral:rRNA from 1 species